rnacentral:misc_RNA from 1 species
GAAACGCGAUAGUUAAUGUGAAUUGCAGAAUUCGGUGAAUCAUCGAGUCUUUGAACGCACAUUGCGCCCAUAGGUAUUCCUUUGGGCAUGUCUGUUUGAGCGUCAUUACAACCCUCAGCUAACCGCUGGUUUUGAACCUGAACGGGUGACACCGCGCCGGUUUUAAAGUUGUAAGCUCUGCUGGCCGCUCUGCCCAACCAGAACAUAGUAAGCACUACUUGUCCGGGUGAAGCUGAACGGUACGGCCUGAACAAAACCUACCCACUCUCAAGGUUUGACCUCAGAUCAGACAAGGAUACCCGCUGAACUUAAGC